CAUACUGCAAUUCACUGUCUAAAGAAGCAAACAACAAAGACGAGUGACACCUUACCAGCUGUCUGAUGUCAGCUACAAAUCAGUAGGAAUUGGCAGAGAUCAGAUACAUAUCCUUCAUACCAGAAUAGACCCCUCCCUGGUUUCUGCGAACCAGGCAGAAGACAAUUAUGAUGACCACGAUGAGGAAUACCACAGCGACAGCUAUAUAGAUGAGGAAAUUCAGGUUGGCUUGUUGAACGAUGGGGCUUCUUGGAGCAACUGUACAAUUGAAUAUUACAUGUUAAGAAAGACUGCAAAGGAUGACCACCAGAGUCAAUAUCUUCUCCUGUCUAUAUUGCUCAAAUUUGGACUGUAUACAUAUAAUAAAAAUGCUGCAUUUAGUAAUUCUACUUUACAUACAGUAAAGUAAUUUACUUUCAUUACAAUAAAUUGUCAUGAUUUAUGAAA